CAUUAGCCCCGAUGGGAGCGGCAUCCUUUUUGUUUUAACCGAUGUUGAUAAUGAACAAAUUGGUGUGACAAAAAGAUUCAGCGGACAGCGGGAAACAGC
rnacentral:sRNA from 1 species